GUUUUUCUCUCUUGCACAACCCAAACUUUCUCAUAAGUCCUAAAUGACAUUUCAAACUAGGAUUAACUCCCUUUAACCUCCAAAUACCACUAAAUCCAGAUUUGGCCUUCCAACUCUCAAAGUCUCACUCUUUCUCCACUCACAACACCAUAUUCUCACCUUCUAACCCAAGGUUAACUCUACCCUUCAUCUCUAACAGUUUUCCAUUAGCAAUUUCAG
rnacentral:lncRNA from 1 species